GACGAACGCUGGCGGCGUGCCUAAUACAUGCAAGUAGAACGCUGAAGGAGGAGCUUGCUUCUCUGGAUGAGUUGCGAACGGGUGAGUAACGCGUAGGUAACCUGCCUGGUAGCGGGGGAUAACUAUUGGAAACGAUAGCUAAUACCGCAUAAUAGCAGUUGUUGCAUGACAACUGUUUGAAAGGUGCAAUUGCACCACUACCAGAUGGACCUGCGUUGUAUUAGCUAGUUGGUGGGGUAACGGCUCACCAAGGCGACGAUACAUAGCCGACCUGAGAGGGUGAUCGGCCACACUGGGACUGAGACACGGCCCAGACUCCUACGGGAGGCAGCAGUAGGGAAGCUUCGGCAAUGGACGGAAGUCUGACCGAGCAACGCCGCGUGAGUGAAGAAGGUUCUCGGAUCGUAAAGCUCUGUUGUAAGAGAAGAACGAGUGUGAGAGUGGAAAGUUCACACUGUGACGGUAUCUGACCAGAAAGGGACGGCUAACUACGUG
rnacentral:rRNA from 1 species